GGAGAACGCUUACCACUUUGUGGUUCAUGACUGGGGUGAAGUCGUAACAAGGUAGCCCUAGGGGAACCUGGGGCUGGAUCACCUCCUUAUACGAUGAU
rnacentral:rRNA from 2 species